CGACGUUUCUGUCGUUCUAAGUGAAUAUGAGACAAUGACAUCCCCUGGAUGGGACAUUAGUUAUUCACUCGUUACCCCCAACAGAAGUUGCUACUCAUUCAACCAGGCACGUGUCGGACAUAUAAUCAAACAACGCCAAAUUUCAUGGAACAUUUAGUGGAAGCUCCAGGACUCCAUUGUGGCAAUUUCUGAAUAAAUUUGAAGACGAAUUCCACCAAGUUGACUGUAUUUUACACAAAACAUCAGUUAUGCAGAGCUUUGUAAUAAAUCACGUUCUCUCAGGUAUAUAGAUUAACAUUUUAUUUAUAGUCAAAAUGGAAGUACCUGCACACAUCCGCUUUUGUAGCUUGUCGUGUAAUACUGUAUUUCUGUAGCUGCU
rnacentral:lncRNA from 1 species